GGCCUACCAUGGUNGUAACGGGUAACGGGGUGUUAGGGCACGACACCGGAGAGGGAGCCUGAGAAACGGCUACCACAUCCAAGGAUGGCAGCAGGCGCGCAAAUUACCCAAUCCCGACACGGGGAGGUAGUGACAAUAAAUAACAAUACGGGGUUCUUUCGGAUCUCGUAAUUGGAAUGAGUCCAAUUUAAAUCUCUUAACGAGGAACAAUUGGAGGGCAAGUCUGGUGCCACCAGCCGCGGUAAUUCCAGCUCCAAUAGCGUAUAUUAAAGUUGUUGCAGUUAAAAAGCUCGUAGUUGAACUUCAGGCCUGGCUGGACGGUCCGCCCUUCGGGUGAGUACUGUCUGUGGUCGGGUCCUACCUUCUGGCGAAGCGUCAUGGCCUUAACCGGCCGUGGCGGGGAACCAGGACUUUUACUGUGAAAAAAUUAGAGUGUUCAAAGCAGGCAAUCGCUUGGAUACAUUAGCAUGGAAUAAUGGAAUAGGACAAUGGUUCUAUUUGUUGGUUUCUAGGACCGUUGUAAUGAUUAAUAGGGAUAGUUGGGGGCAUUAGUAUUCAAUUGUCAGAGGUGAAAUUCUUGGAUUUAUUGAAGACUAACUACUGCGAAAGCAUUUGCCAAGGAUGUUUUCAUUAAUCAAGAACGAAAGUUAGGGGAUCGAAGACGAUCUGAUACCCUCGUAGUCUUAACCAUAAACUAUGCCGACUAGGAAUCGGGCGAUGUUGAAAAAAUGACGCGCUCGGCACCUCAUGGGAAACCAAAGUGUUUGGGUUC
rnacentral:rRNA from 1 species